UACGUAGGGGCAAGCGUUGUCCGGAUUUAUUGGGCGUAAAGAGCGUGUAGGCGGCUAGAUAGGUCCGUUGUGAAAACUCGAGGCUCAACCUCGAGACGCCGGUGGAAACCAUCUAGCUAGAGUCCGGAAGAGGAGAGUGGAAUUCCUGGUGUAGCGGUGAAAUGCGCAGAUAUCAGGAAGAACACCCGUGGCGAAGGCGGCUCUCUGGUACGUGACUGACGCUGAGACGCGAAAGCGUGGGGAGCGAACAGG
rnacentral:rRNA from 1 species